AAAAAUUCCACUGAGUCGGCAAUCCGCGGCCCCCAGCAGCCGAGGUAGAGCCUUGAACGCAGAGCAGCAACGCCAUCGCUGCGAGAUGAGCCACUCACUGCCAUUGGAGCGAACAAAAGUUGGGAUGCAUUCAGUUAAACCUCAAUGAAAAACGUUCUGCUUGGAGCACGCUGCAUUUGUGCCUACAAAGAGGAGCCGACUGGUGAAGUCAGGGUAAGAGGACGAUGCGUCUGUAAGGUCAGGAGGUGAUUGGUAACCAGGUGUUGGAUAAGGGAAGUGAAGAG
rnacentral:lncRNA from 1 species